AUAUUACUCCCUCCGUCCGGAAAUACUUGUCAUUGAAAUGGACGUAUCUAGAUGUAUUUUAGUUCUAGAUACAUCCAUUUUCAUCCAUUUUGAUGACAAGUAAUUCCGGACGGAGGGAGUACAUC
rnacentral:pre_miRNA from 1 species